ensembl:snRNA U6 U6 spliceosomal RNA
GUGCUCGGUUCGGCAGCACAUAUACUAAAAUUGGAAUGAUACAGAGAAGAUUAGUAUGGUCCCUGCGCAAGGAUGACAUGCAAAUUCAUGAAGCAUUCCAUAUUUUU